rnacentral:rRNA from 1 species
UACGUAGGGGGCAAGCGUUGUCCGGAAUCAUUGGGCGUAAAGAGCGUGUAGGCGGCCCGGUAAGUCCGCUGUGAAAGUCGGGGGCUCAACCCUCGAAAGCCGGUGGAUACUGUCGGGCUAGAGUGCGGGAGAGGCGAGUGGAAUUCCCGGUGUAGUGGUGAAAUGCGUAGAUAUCGGGAGGAACACCAGUGGCGAAGGCGACUUCCUGGCCUGUUCUUGACGCUGAGGCGCGAAAGCUAGGGGAGCAAACGGG